GGGGGAUAUUGCGCAAUGGGGGCAACCCUGACGCAGCAACGCCGCGUGAAGGAUGAAGGUUUUCGGAUUGUAAACUUCUUUUAUUAAGGACGAAACUUGACGGUACUUAAUGAAUAAGCUCCGGCUAACUACGUGCCAGCAGCCGCGGUAAUACGUAGGGAGCAAGCGUUGUCCGGAUUUACUGGGUGUAAAGGGUGCGUAGGCGGCUUUGCAAGUCAGAUGUGAAAUCUAUGGGCUCAACCCAUAAACUGCAUUUGAAACUGUAGAGCUUGAGUGAAGUAGAGGCAGGCGGAAUUCCCCGUGUAGCGGUGAAAUGCGUAGAGAUGGGGAGGAACACCAGUGGCGAAGGCGGCCUGCUGGGCUUUAACUGACGCUGAGGCACGAAAGCGUGGGUAGCAAACAGGAUUAGAUACCCUGGUAGUCCACGCUGUAAACGAUGAUUACUAGGUGUGGGGGGUCUGACCCCCUCCGUGCCGGAGUUAACACAAUAAGUAAUCCACCUGGGGAGUACGGCCGCAAGGUUGAAACUCAAAGGAAUUGACGGGGGCCCGCACAAGCAGUGGAGUAUGUGGUUUAAUUCGAAGCAACGCGAAGAACCUUACCAGGUCUUGACAUCCAACUAACGAAGUAGAGAUACAUUAGGUGCCCUUCGGGGAAAGUUGAGACAGGUGGUGCAUGGUUGUCGUCAGCUCGUGUCGUGAGAUGUUGGGUUAAGUCCCGCAACGAGCGCAACCCUUGCUAUUAGUUGCUACGCAAGAGCACUCUAAUAGGACUGCCGUUGACAAAACGGAGGAAGGUGGGGACGACGUCAAAUCAUCAUGCCCCUUAUGACCUGGGCUACACACGUACUACAAUGGAUGUUAACAGAGGGAAGCAAGACAGCGAUGUGGAGCAAACCCCUAAAAACAUUCUCAGUUCAGAUUGCAGGCUGCAACCCGCCUGCAUGAAGAUGGAAUUGCUAGUAAUCGCGGAUCAGCAUGCCGCGGUGAAUACGUUCCCG
rnacentral:rRNA from 2 species